rnacentral:misc_RNA from 1 species
GAAAUUCGAAAAGUAAUGUGAAUUGCAGAAUUCAGUGAAUCAUCGAAUCUUUGAACGCACAUUGCGCCCGCCAGUAUUCUGGCGGGCAUGCCUGUCCGAGCGUCAUUUCAACCAUCAAGCCCCCGGGCUUGUGUUGGGGACCUGCGGCUGCCCGCAGGCCCUGAAAACCAGUGGCGGGCUCGCUGUCACACCGAGCGUAGUAGCAAUCACCUCGCUCAGGGCGUGCUGCGGGUUCCGGCCGUUAAACAGCCUUACAAAACCCAAGGUUGACCUCGGAUCAGGUAGGAAGACCCGCUGAACUUAAGC